ACGGAGGGCAGCNGGCGCGCAAAUUGCCCAAUCCCAAAGCAAAUGGGGAGGCAGCGAAAAGAAAUAGGUCUCCCAAUGGCCCUCGUGGUUGUUGGGAGUUUGCAAUGGGGGAUAUUUAAUGCCAUCCAAUAUCGAGUAACGAUUGGAGGACAAGUCUGGUGCCAGCACCCGCGGNAAUUCCNGCUCCNAGAGCGUAUAUUAACGCUGUUGCUGUUAAAGG
rnacentral:rRNA from 1 species